rnacentral:rRNA from 1 species
GACGAACGCUGGCGGCGUGCUUAACACAUGCAAGUCGAACGGUGAAGCAGAGCUUGCUCUGUGGUUCAGUGGCGAACGGGUGAGUAACACGUGAGUAACCUGCCCUUGACUCUGGGUUAAGCGUUGGAAACGACGCCUAUUACCGGUUACUAGCUGAGACCGCAUGGUCAUCAGUUGGAAACAUUUUGUGGCCAAGGAUGGACUCGCGGCCUAUCUGCUUGUUGGUGAGGUAAUGGCUCACCAAGGCGACGAAGGGUAGCCGGCCUGAGAUGGUGACCGGCCACACGGGGACUGAGAGACGGCCCAGACUCCUACGGGAGGCAGCAGUGGGGAAUAUUGCACAAUGGGCGCAAGCCUGAUGCAGCAACGCCGCGUGAGGGAUGACGGCCUUCGGGUUGUAAACCUCUGUUAGUAGGGAAGAAGCGAAAGUGACGGUACCUGCAGAAAAAGCACCGGCUAACUACGUG